CGUGCGUGCGCCGUAUAACGGCCGGUGUGUAAUUUCAUUUCUGGUAAAACUGCCUCAAAAAUUCCUAUAUUUUUACGGAUAUAGUGGCCGAAAAAAAAAGGGCUGAUACUGAAGACGGAUGCAGCUACUGUUGUGUGUGGGAAGUUAAGAAAAUAAGACAUAUAACAGAAAUUUAAUUGUUCUCUUUAUGCGACGAUAGACAAUUGCUAAUGAAAAACGAUCCGGAGCAAAGUUCGGUAAGACCUUUUGAAAUGUAAUUUUUACGAUUUUUGACAAAAAUUGAUCUUAAAACAAUUAUGACAACAAACUAAUGCAUUAAAUACAAAUUUGUUUUUAGACUACCAAAUAAAGCUUAUUAUGUACCUUGUGUUAAAU